rnacentral:misc_RNA from 1 species
CGCGAGCGUGGUGGCGCGGUCGAAACGGUAAUCCGAGUCGACGUCGGGCACAUGGGGAUCGCUGUUGGAAUAGGCAGGAACCUCGAGAUCGCUGUCGAUACCGAAGACCUGACGAACCGACACUUUCAUGUCGGGGAGGUUCGUGGAUUCCUGCGAUAGAGUCGUGGCGGCGCUCAUCAAUCCUCCGUGGUCCCGGAUGCUCCCGAAACCAGACGUGCUUGCUGCGGGUGGGGUGCGUGAUUCAACCUAGCAGACAGAUGCAAAGGGCAGAAGCCCACCCCGCAAUGAAAGUUCCNGUUCCAGUGUAUUUUCAUUGAGAUAAGCUAUUUUUGCGCGUUUGGUAGGUCUGCCCUGCGAUUGUGAC